rnacentral:rRNA from 1 species
GGAUGCGAUCAUACCAGCACUAAAGCACCGGAUCCCAUCAGAACUCCGAAGUUAAGCGUGCUUGGCGAGAGUAGUACUAAGAAUGGUGACCUCCUGGGAAGUCCUCGUGUUGCAUUCCC